UACGUAGGGGGCAAGCGUUGUCCGGAAUUAUUGGGCGUAAAGAGCGCGUAGGCGGUCCGAUAAGUCGGCUGUGAAAGUCAUGGGCUCAACCCAUGAAAGCCGGCCGAUACUGUCGGGCUAGAGUCCGGAAGGGGCGAGUGGAAUUCCCGGUGUAGCGGUGAAAUGCGCAGAUAUCGGGAGGAACACCGGUGGCGAAGGCGGUUCUCUGGGCCUUACCUGACGCUGAGGAGCGAAAGCGUGGGGAGCGAACAGG
rnacentral:rRNA from 1 species